GAGACCUCAGGUAAGGCGGGGCUACCCGCUGAGUUUAAGCAUAUCAAUAAGCGGAGGAAAAG
rnacentral:rRNA from 1 species